AUACGGAGGAUGCGAGCGUUAUCCGGAUUUAUUGGGUUUAAAGGGUGCGUAGGCGGCCUUGUAAGUCAGCGGUGAAAUUUUGCAGCUUAACUGUAAAAGUGCCGUUGGUACUGUGAGGCUAGGAUUUGGUUGCUGUGGGUGGAAUGUGUGGUGUAGCGGUGAAAUGCUUAGAGAUCACACAGAAUAUCGAUUGCGAAGGCAGCUCACAAAGCCAAGAUUGACGCUGAGGCACGAAAGUGUGGGGAGCAAACAGGAUUAGAUACCCUGGUAGUCCACACUGUAAACGAUGAUAACUCGCUGUCGGCGAUAUACAGUCGGUGGCCAAGCGAAAGCGAUAAGUGAUCCACCUGGGGAGUACGACCGCAAGGUUGAAACUUAAAGGAAUUGACGGGG
rnacentral:rRNA from 1 species